AUGGACACCCAAUCCAUUACCAUCGGAAAAACGCCAAUUCCUAUAACAAAAGAGGACGUGCAGUGUAUAUUUGGCAUUCCGAUAGAAGGGGAGGAUAUAGAGCCACAUCUGGAAAUGCAAACCGACACAGAAUUGUUUACCGCCUAUGCAAACAAUGGGCAAAUUUUGAUUUCUGACCUUGAAACGGCGAUCCGAGCUUCCAAAGCCCCAGACGGCGAUUUCCUGAGACGGUUCAUUCUGUACGCAAUUGGUACUGUUCUAGCACCAACAGCACAACAUUAUGUGGACUCGAAAUUUCUCAACCUUGUUACAGAUCUUCAAAACCUUCGGAAAUUUAACUGGGGAUGUUUCACACUUAAUCACUUCUUCAAGUCCGUUCACAAGUUUAGAAAUCGAGAUCACAUAAAUCUACAAGGAAAUCUAAUUCUGCUCCAGUAUUGGUACUGGGAGCACGUGCGUAGUGGCCGAUUGAUGUAUGCUUCUAGACCCCCUCCAUUGAUCGCACGAUGGGACGAAAUGAUGGCUACUUUAAGAAGCGAUGCUUACGAGAAAGGAGGUCUUCAUAACGGGCUGAUUGACAUGGUAGUUGAAGCCAUGAAUGCACGCUUAGCUGAUCAUGAAAAGAAGGUAGGCAGGAAGUUAAUGGAAAUUGAGCACAGAUUUGAUGUCAAAUACCAGACGCUAGGUGAAGACUUGAUCGACAUGAAGACUAAAACUGGCACUAAUCCUAGGUUGUCGAAGGCCGAGGACGAAAUUAAAGACUUAAGGAGGGAACUACAUGAAUUAAAAUACGAAUUUACAAGCAACCGACAAUUAGUGUCACAGAAAGGAGGCGUGCAGGUGAUCUUUAUGGCCCAACACGUUAAUAUCUAA
rnacentral:rRNA from 1 species